rnacentral:rRNA from 1 species
GAUGAACGCUGGCGGCGUGCUUAACACAUGCAAGUCGAACGAGUGGCGGACGGGUGAGUAAUGCCUGGGAAACUGCCCGAUGGUGGGGGAUAACUACUGGAAACGGUCGCCAAUACCGCAUACCAUCGGAUGUGCCUAGAUGGGAUUGGCUAGUGGGUGGGGUAAUGGCUCACCGGGGCGACGAGCCCUAGCUGGUCUGAGAGGAGGACCGGCAACACGGGAAUGGAGAAACGGUCCAGACUCCUACGGGAGGCAGCAGUGGGGAAUAUUGCACAAUGGGCGCAAUCCUGAGGCAGCCAGGCCGCGUGUAUGAAGAAGGCCUUCGGGUUGUAAAGUACGUUCAGCGAGGAGGCGUUACUCGCAGAAGAAGCACCGGCUAACUCCGUGCCAGCCGCCGCGGUAAUUC